CAGGACUAAGCCCUGCUUAAGGUGAUAGUGAGCACCUCUGGUAUGAGAGACUGGGCACUGUGAUCCUGUUUGUGGUGUUACUCACAGCAAGAAUAGGCCCUGGCUUGCAGCAAAGAGGCCAGAAGGUACAGCCACACAGUGUCCUGGUUGUAUGUGAAGUGGCCUUGACGUUCCUCAGGCCCUUAGAAUUGCAGCAAAGCAGGUGACAGUUGUUAUGGAGUUACAACCAGCUAUAAGCAUCCAGGGUUGAAUGAUCAUUAACUUACUUCUGAAGAGAAGGAUUUCAGCUCAGAGAGAAGAGAUACGAGGGACAACGCAAGCAAAGCACUGGUGUGUUGUGCGUGGCUGGAACCAAGCAGUCAGCCACAAACUGAGCUGCAAAGCUGUUCCAGUUGCAUCCUGAUUCCUGAGAAGCCACUCCACGGAGGUGUAUGUUUGGACCAAUACAGCAUGUUGUCGCUGCGGAAGAGGAGGGCAGGGCUAGGUGUGCUGCAUCUGCUCUUCUUGGCAUCCCGGCAGUGUGUUUCCUCCUGCAGUAAAGUGUGUUGGAAAGCUUAAAUAAACCUUUCAGGAGCACAGCUCAUGACACAGUCUUGGAGCAGCGGGGCCAUGGCCCAUGUAAGUGAGGGGAGCCUGGGAUGAAAAGAAGACUCUUGCAUCUUUAACUGAAAUAAUUGCCCAAUCAAGUCCCAAGUUUAGCACAAGUGGGAUAAAUUAGCUUGCUGUGUAGAAUCACCUGAAGUAACUGCACCUUGCAGAGCAAGAAGGAACUCCUCGAUAUCCUGAUGACACAUCAGGACAGCAAUUCUUUAACACUUGCAGAGUGUUUUUUAUCUUCAAAGCUUCACAAAUGUUAGCUAAUUAAUCCUCAUAAAGCCUGAGGGAGUUAACGUAUGUAUUGUUACAAGCCACAGGCCAACAAAGGACUUCACAGUUGUCACCAUGCUUCAUGCUGUGGCUGCUGCUGGCAUCAGCCAGGAAAGAAAUAAAGAUCAUACUAAAAAGCACUCUCCUUUCCUCCCCUGGCAAGUGGCAGUUCAAUGAGCCUCUCCACAGUUAUGUAGAAACUGGGAUACAAAAUGAAGCUGGGCUACUUCUAUCCAUCACAGUGUAAUACAGCCAGUCACAGCUAAUGCCUCUUACCUAGCAAGCUGUGAGCUACGGCCCAGAGAACUGGGGUGCAGAGUGUGCACAGUCACAAUCCCAGCCAGCCGGUGCCAGCUCCUACACUGCUGGAGCCAGGCUACAGCCCUGAAGUUUAAUCUGCACACCUCGGGGACAUGCAGAAGUAGAUUCAUAGUUGAGAUACACAGAGAAACUGAGCAGCGUGUUGGUAGCUCUACAGAAACUAUAGCCCUGUCUGACCUCUCUUGCUGCUUCUUCUAGAGCCAUGAUACCAGGGGUGAAGCAACAGCCCUGGGGCAUCUUGCUGCUGCGAUAGAAAGAAAAUGUGCUCCUCUUUAGCACAGAUAAAGGCUAUCUGUGCAUGGCUGAAGUGAGAUAGUGUUUGGGAGCUUCCCAGGAUACUAAAGACUGUAUUUUCUUUCAUGUCUUGUGCUGUUCAAGCUCAAGGCACUGCCCCCUUCGAACUUGCUGUGUUUUGUAGGUCUCCCCACUUGCAUAACUGCAAGCAGAACGGAAUGGCUCAUAUAAAUAAUAUGGCUCAGGGAGGGCAUAUGUAACAGUGUACGUGCUGAUAUGAACAUCAUGUGUCUCUGCACAGUGUACCAGGAGGUUUGACAUCUCUGCUGCUACAUCUGUCAGUCAAUAAACCCCAUGCUGCCCACCUUUAGAGGGUGAAUUACAUGUGGAGGACUGUUUUCUCUGUAGUUACCAGGGCCAAGACAGAGCACUGGGAUUGUGGGAACCUGUGUGGAAACUGCCGUGGUAGACACGGCUUGUGGAACAAAGCUAGAUGUGGCUGCAAGGCAUCAGUUUUCUGCUUGACUGAAAGUCAGGCUAUGCACCCUGAAGGAGGUUUGUUUUAGCCUGUUGUUAAAGACCUCAUUUAAUGGUGAUUCUACUGCCACCUCAGUGAAUCUCUUCCAGUGUAUCUCUAUCCUGUUUAAGGUUUUCCUAAUAUCCAACCUAAAUCUCUCAAAUUGUCACUGUUGCAAUUACUUUCUCAUCCAUUACUUCUCCCCAUUUACUUCCUGUCCAAUCCAUCAUGAACAUGGAAAUUGCUUUAUUUCCUUUCUCUGUACAACAGCUGGGUUGUACUUAAAGGAUGCUGUUGUGUCUCAGCUCAGACUUCCCCUUAGUUUAAACAACCCCAGUUCAUUCAGCCUGUAUUUGCAGAUUGUGAUUUCUAAACAGCUGAUCUCUUUUGAUCCUCACAUCUGAUAUGUCCCUGGUUGUUCCAGGUCCUCCUGGGGACAUACUGGAGAUGUGACCUCACCAGUGCUGAACCAACAAGUAAGAAUUACCUCAUAUGUUUAUAAGGUUACCCAGCAAGAGAUCUCUGCCUUCUGGGUGUGUCAGUGUUUACUGGGGCCCCAGGAUGGGCACAGGCCCGUGUGUUGAGCAGGGACAGCAAUUCCCAGUGGUCUAGAAAACUUCUCAAUUAUAUAUUUACCAUCCCAUUUUCAGUUUUUCCCUUUUUCAUUAUAUCAAGUGUAGUAGUAAAGGAAACUUAACCUCUGUUAAUAAAUCUCUUCUCUUGUAUCUUCCCAAUUUAGGAUUGCUAAAACACAGCAGCAGUAGUGAUGAUAUCACAGCUGCACUAGAAAGUACAUUCCAAAAUUAACAUAACCGUGACUCCACCAAGUGAAGCAAACAUUGUAAUUGGUGAGUCAUGAUAACGUGUAGA